rnacentral:rRNA from 1 species
AUUGAACGCUGGCGGCAUGCCUUACACAUGCAAGUCGAACGGCAGCACGGGUGCUUGCACCUGGUGGCGAGUGGCGAACGGGUGAGUAAUACAUCGGAACGUACCUUAUCGUGGGGGAUAACGCAGCGAAAGCUGUGCUAAUACCGCAUACGCCCUGAGGGGGAAAGCGGGGGAUCGCAAGACCUCGCGCGAUUAGAGCGGCCGAUGCCUGAUUAGCUUGUUGGUGGGGUAAAAGCCCACCAAGGCGACGACCAGUAGCUGGUCUGAGAGGACGAUCAACCACACUGGGACUGAGACACGGCCCAGACUCCUACGGGAGGCAGCAGUGGGGAAUUUUGGACAAUGGGGGCAACCCUGAUCCAGCAAUGCCGCGUGAGUGAAGAAGGCCUUCGGGUUGUAAAGCUCUUUUGUCAGGGAAGAAACACCGGCUCUAACACAGUCUGGGAAUGACAGUACCUGAAGAAUAAGCACCGGCUAACUACGUGCCAGCCGCCGCCGUAA